rnacentral:rRNA from 1 species
UACGGGGGGAGCAAGCGUUAUUCGGAUUUAUUGGGCGUAAAGGGUUCGUAGGCGGUCAGGUUAGUCAGGGGUGAAAUCUAACGGCUUAACCGUUAAAUUGCCCUUGAAACUGCCUGACUUGAGUACGGGAUAGGAAAGCGGAAUUCUCGGUGUAGCGGUGAAAUGCGUGGAUAUCGAGAGGAACACCAGUGGCGAAAGCGGCUUUCUGGCCCGAUACUGACGCUGAUGAACGAAAGCCAGGGGAGCAAACGGGAUUAGAUACCCCCGUA